rnacentral:rRNA from 1 species
GGCUCAGAUUGAACGCUGGCGGCAUGCCUUACACAUGCAAGUCGAACGGCAGCACGGGAGCAAUCCUGGUGGCGAGUGGCGAACGGGUGAGUAAUAUAUCGGAACGUGCCCAGUCGUGGGGGAUAACGCAGCGAAAGCUGUGCUAAUACCGCAUACGAUCUAUGGAUGAAAGCGGGGGACCGUAAGGCCUCGCGCGAUUGGAGCGGCCGAUAUCAGAUUAGCUUGUUGGUGGGGUAAAAGCCCACCAAGGCGACGAUCUGUAGCUGGUCUGAGAGGACGACCAGCCACACUGGAACUGAGACACGGUCCAGACUCCUACGGGAGGCAGCAGUGAGGAAUUUUGGAUAAUGGGCGCAAGCCUGAUCCAGCAAUGCCGCGUGCAGGAUGAAGGCCUUCGGGUUGUAAACUGCUUUUGUACGGAACGAAACGGCUCUUUCUAAUAAAGAGGGCUAAUGACGGUACCGUAAGAAUAAGCACCGGCUAACUACGUGCCAGCAGCCGCGGUAAUACGUAGGGUGCGAGCGUUAAUCGGAAUUACUGGGCGUAAAGCGUGCGCAGGCGGUUAUAUAAGACAGAUGUGAAAUCCCUGGGCUCAACCUGGGACCUGCAUUUGUGACUGUAUAGCUAGAGUACGGUAGAGGGGGAUGGAAUUCCGC